GUGAGUAACACGUGGAUAACCUAUCUAUAAGACUGGGAUAACUUCGGGAAACCGGAGCUAAUACCGGAUAAUAUAUUGAACCGCAUGGUUCAAUAGUGAAAGACGGUUUUGCUGUCACUUAUAGAUGGAUCCGCGCCGCAUUAGCUAGUUGGUAAGGUAACGGCUUACCAAGGCAACGAUGCGUAGCCGACCUGAGAGGGUGAUCGGCCACACUGGAACUGAGACACGGUCCAG
rnacentral:rRNA from 1 species